rnacentral:sRNA from 1 species
UCAUGGGCGUUUCCUCCCUGAACUUGGGCCGCGCUUCGGCGCGGCCUCUUUUUUUGUGCUG